AGUGAACGCUGGCGGCAUGGCUAAGACAUGCAAGUCGAACGGGAUCUACUGAAGGGUAACCGGAUGUAGUGAGAGUGGCGAACGGGUGCGUAACACGUGAACAAUCUACCUUAAAGUUGGGGAUAGCUCGAGGAAACUCGAAUUAAUACCGAAUGUGGUUCCUUCUCGCAUGGGAAGGAUACUAAAGCUUGUAACGGCGCUUUAAGAGGGGUUCGCGGCCUAUCAGCUUGUUGGUGAGGUAACGGCUCACCAAGGCUUCGACGGGUAGCCGGCCUGAGAGGGCGACCGGCCACACUGGGACUGAGAUACGGCCCAGACUCCUACGGGAGGCAGCAGUGGGAAUAUUGCGCAAUGGGCGAAAGCCUGACGCAGCAACGCCGCGUGCGGGAUGACGGCCUCGGUGUAACG
rnacentral:rRNA from 1 species